rnacentral:misc_RNA from 1 species
UACCCUUGACAUGCCAGGAACCCUCCAGAGAUGGAGGGGUGCCCGAAAGGGAACCUGGACACAGGUGCUGCAUGGCUGUCGUCAGCUCGUGUCGUGAGAUGUUGGGUUAAGUCCCGCAACGAGCGCAACCCUUGUCCUGUGUUGCCAGCGCGUAAUGGCGGGGACUCGCAGGAGACUGCCGGGGUCAACUCGGAGGAAGGUGGGGAUGACGUUUACGUGCACUU